ACGGGGGGGGCAAGCGUUGUUCGGAAUUACUGGGCGUAAAGGGCUCGUAGGUGGCCAUCUAAGUCAGACGUGAAAUCCCUCGGCUCAACCGGGGAACUGCGUCUGAUACUGGGCGGCUUGAAUUCGGGAGAGGGACGUGGAAUUCCAGGUGUAGCGGUGAAAUGCGUAGAUAUCUGGAGGAACACCGGUGGCGAAGGCGGCGUCCUGGACCGAUAUUGACACUGAGGAGCGAAAGCCAGGGGAGCAAACGG
rnacentral:rRNA from 1 species